GUUGACCUCGAAUCAGGUAGGAAUACCCGCUGAACUUAAGCAUAUCAAUAAGCGGAGGAA
rnacentral:rRNA from 4 species